UGUAUGCAAACUUUUCUCUCAUCUUGAGUCUCUCAUCUAAGUUCUUUGCUCUACAUCUCAACCUCACCAAAUAUCUCUUGCAAACUUUUCUCCUAUUUUGAGUUCUCUGCUCUACAUCUCAACAACGAGGUGGGCUGGUCUAACACAUUUACUCUCAAUACAUCCCUCUUCUCAUUCAUUCUUCCCUGUUCUCACAAACUUCAUAAGGCCAAAGAGAAAAAUGUUGAAGGUUUACGCUUAUUGAUUAGCGUGGUACAACUUUUUUAACUGGUUUACAAAUUUUAGCAAAAAUAGUCUUAGCAAAAAUGUUGCGUGGCCCCUUUUGCUUUCUUAUGGGAAAGGCCGCCAUGUACGCUCUCCGUUUAGCCUCUCCCCCCAGUCUCGGUUGCAAGGCCCUGUCGCCGGGCGCUGGAAAUAAUCACACCACCAUGAAGGCCGGCGACGAUGUACAUGUAAGAAGAGUGAGUAGCGGAAGUUUAGUUCGCGAUGCGGUCACUAAGCCGGAGAAGCAGUUGCCGGUAGUGUCUCCGGGGUCGUUGACUAGUGAGGCUGGACGCCUUAUUCCCAAUCUGGCUUGCCGCCAUGGAAAUGAGUCCUAUAGCUACAGAGCCAUGGAGUAUUUAACCGCCAUAUUGUCAUCCAAUAAAGUGUACGAUGUAGCAAUUGAGACGCCGUUGCAGCUCUCCUCCAUGCUCACCGCCCGGCUGGGGAACAAUAUCUGGCUCAAGAGGGAAGAUCUUCAACCUGUCUUUGCGUUCAAACUUGGAGGAGCUUAUAAUAUCUUAGAAAAGAAACCACUCCAUAUACAUAUUCUUUACAUAUACGGAAGUUUUCUUGGCCUAUAGCUUUAACAGUCACACCUUCUGCAAAACCUCCUACUUGCUCCAGCAUUACUCUCUUCCCAUGAUGCAAGGACAAUGCUAAAACAUUUGCAUCACUGGGCUCAACCCCGAUUAUCUUUGCUUCGGGGUUAACCAUUUUAAAGUAAGAAGCAACACCUGCAAUUAAUCCACCUCUGCCAACCGGAAUAAAUAUGGCACGGAUGGUAAAUUUCUUUUCCGACGGUACCCUGCCCAGGCCAUGACAUUUGUGCCAUAUUUAUUCCGGUUGGCGGAGGUGGAUUAAUUGCAAGUGUUGCUUCUUAUUUUAAAAUGGUUUACCCCGAAGCAAAGAUAAUCGGGGUUGAGCCCUGUGAUGCAAAUGCUUUAGCAUUGUCCUUGCAUCAUGGGAAGAGAGUAAUGCUGGAGCAAGUAGGAGGUUUUGCAGAAGGUGUGGCUGUUAAAGCUGUAGGCCAAGAAAACUUCCGUAUUUGUAAAGAAUAUGUAUAUGGAGUGGUUUUUGUUGGCCGUAAUGCAUCAAUAAAGGAUAUGUUUGAAGAUAAAAGGAGCAUUUUAGAGCCGGCAGGUGCUCUUUCCCUUGCGGGAGCUGAAGCAUACUCCAACUAUUACAACCUCGAAGGACCAAAACAUAGUAGCAAUAAGCCAAUAACCACCGGAGUAAACAUAAAUUUUGAUAAACUGAGAUUGGUAGCAGAUGUUGGUAGAGAACUUGAAGUGUAAGAGACAUGGAAUUUGGUGACUACUUUUUUUAUGAAAAAGUUCAAUUAGCUUUAAAUGUCUUUUUUUAUGGAUGUGUAGUUAUAUAAUUCUGAAUGUAUA